GGGGUGGGCUGUUUUCAGGACUUUGUCGAGACUGUCUCACCAAAUCACGAUCCUAACCAUGAAAGACGCUAUAUGCCAAAUCGCGUUGAAUCUACUUAAAAUUGUUGAACUUGUUUAAACACGAGUAGAUUUCCCUCUUGACUGAGGUUAUUUUGCCAAACAUGAGUGUUUGUAUAUUGUAUGGGAACGGAAUAGUUUCUAUCGUACGUUUUCGAACAAGGAAGUACACUCGAGAAGAAAAUGCUUACUGCUCUCCAUUCUACCACAAGUACAGUUUUUAAUUUCUUCAAGAUUUCUCAUAAAUAAAUGUUCGUUUAGAUUACUGAAAUCCAUCCGAAGUCUGGCAUGAAGUAUUUGUCCUUUCCUGUCUACAUAAAAAUAAUAAUUUGGUAUUUUACUUACGUUUUGAUAAAGGUAACGUUUAAGUGUAAACUUAGAUGGACCUAAUCUGAUAUCGUCCGGAAAACAUUCCAGGAUCGAAUAACUGAUGGAAGAAAAGAUUUCUGAUAAAAUGCUGUUCUACACUUUAUAUGUUGCGUG
rnacentral:lncRNA from 1 species